UGGGGGAUAUUGCACAAUGGGCGAAAGCCUGAUGCAGCGACGCCGCGUGGGGGAUGAAGGCCUUCGGGUUGUAAACUUCUUUUGCUCUGAACAAGGCGCACCAUGGGGUGUGUUGAGUGUAGGGGUUGAUUAGCGCCGGCUAACUACGUGCCAGCAGCCGCGGUAAUACGUAGGGCGCGAGCGUUGUCCGGAAUUAUUGGGCGUAAAGGGCUUGUAGGUGGCUGGUUGCGUCUGUCGUGAAAGCUCAUGGCUUAACUGUGGGUUUGCGGUGGAUACGGGCUGGCUUGAGUGCAGUAGGGGAGGCUGGAAUUCCUGGUGUAGCGGUGGAAUGCGCAGAUAUCAGGAGGAAUACCGGUGGCGAAGGCGGGUCUCUGGGCUGUUACUGACACUGAGGAGCGAAAGCAUGGGGAGCGAACAGG
rnacentral:rRNA from 1 species